UUUUUUAAUUUUCGCAGUGUCUGCGUCGACCCGGUCUACGCAACGCCCAGCGUUGGGUAGACCCAGAAUUCUGAUUGGCUAUUAAGAAAAAGUCACGUGUCUAUAUAAAUUGAGUGAAUUAUUUUGUUAAGGUUAUUUAUAUAAAUUUUAAAUGAGUAGAAAUGAAAUUAUAUUAGAUAUAUGCAAUGCAUUCUGAGAUAAUUAUUAUGUGUAAUGUCACGUGUUACAUUUGAUGAGGGGCGGGAGAAUCCCUUCGGUUUCCCGCGUUUUGACCGUUGUUUACUUUCUUCGGCUCCUUGUGUUCCUGCAACCUUCGCAAGUCCACCUCCAUUUGUCGUGAACCCUCGUUUCUGAGCGUUGAUCUUCCCUUCUUGGUGUCUUGUUGAUUUUUUUUCACGUAUUUAUUUCUUUCGCGAGAUUCCGAUUGCCUUUGUAUUUAGCCCAAAACUCGGGUGUACCACGUGCUUUGAUAUCUGGGGGUUCCGUGACUGGGACAACUGGGGUUUCUUGUGGAAAGACGUUCGGAAUUUUCCUAUUGAAACCAGACGUGGCUGUCGAGAUUCAGUCGAUUCGUUCUUUAGCGGCGAUUAAGCGUCUGUUCGUCAUGACUGCUGGAUUGACGGUCAUCCUCCCGAGGCAAAGCAGCCCGCGGUGGACGUGCCGAGGUUCUGCGGGAAAGAACAAGGAUGCCCGGGAGACGAACACUUUCUGCAGGAGCCACAAGGCAGGCCAUGGUUUCAUCGAACAGCCGGGAGUGGAGCGGGAUGCUGAAGGAUAGCGGCGCUCAUUUCAGUGAGCCCAGCUUGAACCCCACCAUUGGUGUCCUGGGCACCACUCUGAAUAAGCUGCUUCAGUUGUGACUUGUAGCACAAAGUUCCUGUCACCCAGUUCAUCGUCAUCUCGGAACCAAGGGCAUUGGUCCUGCCUGCUAGUUACCACUUGAAUAAAAGUUGGAAUGGUGCAGUGUGUUUGUGUAAAUAAACUGUUGAAGUUGUGACAGUA